rnacentral:rRNA from 1 species
GUGGGACNUGCCUUUUGGUUCGGAAUACUCAGGGAAACUAGUGCUAAUACCGAAUGUGCCCUUCGGGGGAAAGAUUUAUCGCCAUUAGAGCGGCCCGCGUCUGAUUAGCNAGUUGGUGAGGUAAAGGCUCACCAAGGCGACGAUCAGUAGCUGGUCUGAGAGGAUGAUCAGCCACAUUGGGACUGAGACACGGCCCAAACUCCUACGGGAGGCAGCAGUGGGGAAUCUUGCGCAAUGGGCGAAAGCCUGACGCAGCCAUGCCGCGUGAAUGAUGAAGGUCUUAGGAUUGUAAAAUUCUUUCAGUAGGGACGAUAAUGACGGUACCUACAGAAGAAGCCCCGGCUAACUUCGUGCCAGCAGCCGCGGUAAUACGAANGGGGCUAGCGUUGCUCGGAAUUACUGGGCGUAAAGGGAGCGUA